CCCUUCCAUUUGGCGCGGCUAGCCUAUUGGUUCCACGCGUGCGCGCGCCCCGUGACCACGCCCUGUUGCUGGUGAAGAUCAUAUUGAGGCAUUGGAAAAAGGAGCUCCCUCCAGUAUGCAGAUGACUCAAUAUCCUGAGAAGGCACCUUUAUUUAUACUGGAAGAUCCUGCAGAUACCUGCCUAACAAAACUCUGCUAUCCUUAAUGCUGUGGACUAGAAGGCCUCCAUCCCUCCUCCGGGCUCCGCUCUGGGCAUCCAGAGGAGAAAGACUUUGAAGUCCUCAGGGGACUUGCAAGCAGAAGUGGGGGAAAGGGUACCACAAAUGGAGAUGAAAUCUGUCUUUACUUUCCUGAUGUUCCUGGGCUUCAAAGCCAGAGCCAUGAGCCAUGGAAAGGCGGAGUUGGAAAGGACGCUGUCUCUGAUGUGACAUUCUAUGCUCAAAAAUGCCUUUGCCUGGCCUCUUUGUGUGACUUCAGUUGGAUACCAGGUUUGUAACCAAAGCCAGGGGUUGUGUGUGUUCCAUGUGACACAUGUGACUUGGGAACUGUAAGCAGAAGCCACAGCAAGGUAGAAUCAUCUCCACAAUUCAUAAGUGCUCUUUCGCCAACGUUCAGGAAGGAUUUAGAUAAACUGUGAUUUUCUUAAAACGUCCUUAGGGCUGGAAAGAUAGCUCAGUAGUUAAGAGUACCUGCUAUGCAAACAUGAAGGCUGGAGCUUGGAUACCAGCUCCCAUGUAACAGGCUGGGUGCCAUACACAUACCUGAAAAUCUGUCUGUCAGCAGGGCCGAGGGAGAAUUGCUAGGGACUUCUGGUUCAAUGAGAAACUGUGACCUCCAGGUUUAGAGAUAGACCCUAACUCAAAAGUAAUAGGGAGAAGAUUAUAAAAGAGAACAGCUGAUGUCUUCUUAAGAUUUCUGUGUACCUAUGUAUAUGUACUACACACACACACACACACACACACACACACACACACACACACGCACGCACUCACAUCUUCUCUAAUGUUGAAGAAUUGCCCUUAUGGAAAAACUGUUAUUUGCCACCAACACCAGGCAAAAACACUAGGACCUCAUGCUGCUGCUGUUAUUUCUUUGCCAUUCUCUCAGCAGUAGGAUUUAUGGGUCUGCGGGCAUUUCUGUGAUUGCUUCUCACUCACAAGGCCUCUGUCUUAGCUGAUGGAAAUUGCAUUGUGCUGGAUAGUAGUCUGAAAGCAAUUUUCUUUAGCAUUAUAGCAGCUGCACUUUUUUAUGGCUGCCUGUGAGUUUGCAAGUGAUUUCAACAGAGAAUCCAUACAUAACAACAAUUGCAUAUAGCUUUUCCUCAAGAUGGGAUAGAAUCAUGCGAAGGAAACACACACACUUUGCAUCUCAAGCACUCAGCCACCAUGAUGGUAACAGCACACUGCAUGGCAAAGAACCAAUGUGAGGAGGGCCUGCAACAGUCCAUCAUAGUUCCCUCUGGUCAUGUGCAAAAGUCAGUCAUAGCUCAUAUGAAAGUUCAGUUGAAGACCACAUCUUCUUACCCAUUCUGUCACACACAGAAUCCCAGAGACACAUAACAUAUGACUUCAACUGUGAUUUAUGUGGAUUACAUGUUGCUGCUGGCAUUGGAAUCUUCUCAUCAAGUUACACAACUACAAUACUGAAAGAGGACCUUCAGCUUUAUCAUAUCCUUCCAUUACGGAUACUUGUCCCAUCGAUUUCACAUCUGUUGUGUAACAACAUAAAAUGGAGUGAUUUGAAUCAGCGUUCACUGAGAAACUCCUGAUUUUGGCUAUCAGCUGUUAGUUCUGAGCUCCGCUUGGUGAUUCUGCUGUGGGUCAUACCUGGGCUCAGUUGGGUAGCUUAAGGCUUAUGCCAUAAGGCAUAAUUCAAACUAGGAGUGAAACAUUUUGUAUUUAUUUAUUUAUUUAUUUAUUUAUUUAUCUUCUUGUUUUGCCUGUGUGUGUACCACUAGCACGAAUGAUUCUUGCAGAGGACAGAAGCUCGCCAGGAACUGGAGUUACAGACAGUUGUGAGCCAUCAUGUGGGUGCUGGUAAUUGAACCAGGGUCCUCUGCAAGAACAGCCAGUGCCCUUAACUGCUAAGGCAUCUCUCUAGCCCCUGAAAAUGUCUCAUAGGUGUUUUUUCUUCAUUGCUGUGUUUGCAGUUUAGCAUACGUGAGAACGAUUAAAUGUUAAUGUUUCUCUGUCCACAUAAAAGAAGCCAGUGUGUCCUGUGGGUAAAUUGGGUCCUUUAGAGCACUUUGCCUCUGAUUUGAAAUAAAUUCUGUUAAUUCAU
rnacentral:lncRNA from 1 species